CUCACAGGAAAACCGUUUUCUAAAAAUAGUUCAUUAAGAUAUAAGACCCAGAAACUUACUGUCUGCGCAAUUAUAACUUUAGUGUCUGUGAGUCUGCAAGCAUAAGUCGCCGAAGCAGAAAAUUCGGUAUCUCUAUUAAAGAUGGGUUGCUGGAGAGUUUUAAAAAUCAUCUUCUUAUUGGCGUUGGAGAUAGCGGAUCUCGUUUUAGACUGGGACUUUUACUAUGAAGUAAGCAAAACAGAGGAUAUCAGUCUGAAAUUAAAAUACAGCAUCCUGGGCUUUGCCAUCUUUGGGACAAUUUUAUUUCUGUGCAUAUUUAUCAACAAGAUGGUGAUAUACUGCAGCGAUGAUGACGAAGAAGAUGACGCAUGCGCAUUGGGUUUCUCAUUUGUAUCAACCAUGUUUGAGGACCUGCCACAAAUCUUAUUGGCUAUUUUGGUUGCCUUAACGACUAAAGAACUGAUAUCUCCUAUUCAGAUCGCAAAAGCUGGCUACGCAAUCGCAGAACCGGUGAUUCAGAUAAUGUUUACUUCAUAUCAGAUUCAAAAAAUAAGGAAAGACAAAUAUGAUGACAAUAGUUGUAAACAGUGUUGUAAAGUAAUGGAAAUUAUUAUUAGUAUUGUUCUUGCAAUGUCUUCCUGUUUCCUACUGAUUCAUUUAUUACACCCAUUUAUUGAGAAAGUUACCCUUUAAAUUUUGAUUUGCUUGAAGUAUUUUAAAAUAGAGAAGGGACUUUGAUUUGUAAAUGAGCAUUAAAGAUACAUGUAAAAAAAAAUCAAAA